AGCGUAGUAGUCCAGUGGAUAAGAUGUUUGACUGGAAGUCAGAAGGUUGCUGAUUCGAGCCCCAAUUCAGCAA